CGAGCCCGGCGUGGCUGUUACACAAGGUGGCCCCAGCUGCCACCGGGCCUCCGCCCACCUCGGUGUUGCGUCCCUGUCCGGGCGGUGACUCACCGGAGGCUGUGCCUGCAGCGGAGCAGGAGCCUUGGCCCCUCAGAGGAAGUCAGCAGUCAGUUUUCUUCAACAAACUUCCUGGCCCGGGUCUUGAGGCGCCCCUCCUGGCCCCAGAGGUCCCCGUCCCCACAGACUGGAGCAUGCCAUGAGGUGCUGGGAUCACAGGUGACUGGUUCUUUUCCUCUGGCCGGGCCUGGCCCGAGGUGGCCAAAUCACCUGUCUCCACCCCUGCACCUGGGAGCCUCCCCACUUCCUGUGCCCGGGCAGCACCUGCCAAAAGCCUUCAUGAAGCUAAGGAAAACAAAGGACAUCAGCCCAUCAACACCUCCACCAGUCACUAAAUGACUGCUAAAUAGCCCCAAAAUGUCCCACUGGACUGUGUCAUCCAAACACUGCCACCCAGCCAGGCCGGGUUUUAGUAAAUACGAACACUUCCCUAGCAUCAGGACUGCGGGGCAAACACUUCAGCGGGCCUGGCUGGAC
rnacentral:lncRNA from 1 species